GUUACUUUGACAGAAUAGUGUGUUUGAUUUAGAAUCAUUUAAUGUAAUAGCUUUACAUGUAAUA
rnacentral:tRNA from 1 species